rnacentral:rRNA from 1 species
AAGUCUGGUGCCAGCAGCCGCGGUAAUUCCAGCUCCAAUAGCGUAUAUUAAAAUUGUUGCGUCUAAAAAGCUCGUAGUUUGAAAACUUGCCUUAGCUUACAAUCGACCCUUUCGGGGUCACCGUUUGUUGGGAGCAAAUAUGGAUGAUUGUAUUCGCCGACUUAAUUGUUUGGCUUAUAAACGUCAUCAAAUAUCACUUUGAUUAAAUUAGAGUGCUUAAAGCAAGUGUGUUACUUGGAUAUAAAUGCAUGGAAUGAUGGAAUAUGUUGUUGUUCUAUUUGUUGGUUUUUUGAACGAUGAAAUGAUUGAAAGGAACUGUUGGGGGCAUUCGUAUUGUUGUGAGAGAGGUGAAAUUCUUAGACCACAGCAAGACGAACUACUGCGAAAGCAUUUGCCAAGAAUGUUUUCAUUGAUCAAGAACGAAAGUUAGAGGUUCGAAGGCGAUCAGAUACCGCCCUAGUUCUAACCAUAA